rnacentral:rRNA from 1 species
GAUGAACGCUGGCGGCGUGCCUAAUACAUGCAAGUCGAGCGAACAGACGAGGAGCUUGCUCCUCUGACGUUAGCGGCGGACGGGUGAGUAACACGUGGAUAACCUACCUAUAAGACUGGGAUAACUUCGGGAAACCGGAGCUAAUACCGGAUAAUAUAUUGAACCGCAUGGUUCAAUAGUGAAAGACGGUUUUGCUGUCACUUAUAGAUGGAUCCGCGCCGCAUUAGCUAGUUGGUAAGGUAACGGCUUACCAAGGCCACGAUGCGUAGCCGACCUGAGAGGGUGAUGGGCCACACUGGAACUGAGACACGGUCCAGACUCCUACGGGAGGCAGCAGUAGGGAAUCUUCCGCAAUGGGCGAAAGCCUGACGGAGCAACGCAGCGUGAGUGAUGAAGGUCUUCGGAUCGUAAAACUCUGUUAUUAGGGAAGAACAAAUGUGUAAGUAACUAUGCACGUCUUGACGGUACCUAAUCAGAAAGCCACGGCUAACUACGUG